rnacentral:rRNA from 1 species
UACGGAGGGUGCGAGCGUUGUCCGGAAUCACUGGGCGUAAAGGGCGCGUAGGCGGCUCAUGAAGGCUGUGGUGAAAGUCCGGGGCUCAACCUCGGAUCGGCCGUGGCGACUCGUGGGCUGGAGCACUGUAGAGGCGGGUGGAAUUCCGGGUGUAGCGGUGGAAUGCGUAGAGAUCCGGAAGAACACCAGUGGCGAAGGCGGCCCGCUGGGCAGUGGCUGACGCUGAUGUGCGAAAGCGUGGGGAGCAAACAGG